GUGGGGAAUAUUGGACAAUGGGCGCAAGCCUGAUCCAGCCAUGCCGCGUGAGUGAUGAAGGCCUUAGGGUUGUAAAGCUCUUUCAGUAGGGAAGAUAAUGACGGUACCUACAGAAGAAGCCCCGGCUAACUUCGUGCCAGCAGCCGCGGUAAUACGAAGGGGGCUAGCGUUGUUCGGAUUUACUGGGCGUAAAGCGCACGUAGGCGGAUUGGUCAGGUAGAGGUGAAAUCCCGAAGCUCAACUUCGGAACUGCCUUUAAUACUGCCAGUCUCGAGUCCGGAAGAGGUGAGUGGAACUCCUAGUGUAGAGGUGGAAUUCGUAGAUAUUAGGAAGAACACCAGUGGCGAAGGCGGCUCACUGGUCCGGUACUGACGCUGAGGUGCGAAAGCGUGGGGAGCAAACAGGAUUAGAAACCCGGGUAGUCC
rnacentral:rRNA from 1 species